GGCACUUAUAGAGUAACAGUGACACAUGAAGGUAGGCACUAAUAGAGUAACAGUGACACAUGAAGGUAGGCACUAAUAGAGUAACAGUGACACAUGAAGGUAGGCACUAAUAGAGUAAAAGUGACACAUGAAGGUAGGCACUAAUAGAGUAACAGUGACACAUGAAGGUAGGCACUUAUAGAGUAACAGUGACACAUGAAGGUAGGCACUAAUAGAGUAACAGUGACACAUGAAGGUAGGCACUAAUAGAGUAACAGUGACACAUGAAGGUAGGCACUAAUAGAGUAACAGUGACACAUGAAGGUAGACACUAAUAGAGUAACAGUGACACAUGAAGGUAGGCACUAAUAGAGUAACAGUGACACAUGCAGGUAGACACUAAUAGAGUAACAGUGACACAU